rnacentral:rRNA from 1 species
AUACAGAAGCCUCGAGCGUUACCCGGAUUUACUGGGCGUAAAGGGUGCGUAGGCGGUUAUAUUAGUCGGAUGUUAAAUCCUGAGGCUCAACCUCAGGCUCGCAUUCGAAACGGUAUAACUAGAAGAUGUGAGAGGUGAACAGAACUCAUGGUGUAGGGGUGAAAUCCGUUGAUAUCAUGGGGAAUACCAAAUGCGAAGGCAGUUCACUGGCACAUUCUUGACGCUGAGGCACGAAAGCGUGGGUAGCGAACGGGAUUAGAAACCCCAGUAGUCC